rnacentral:sRNA from 1 species
CGUUCUGGGCCUGCUGGGGGGCGAUGAAGUGGACGUGGGUGUCGAUCGCGCCGGGCGUGGCGAUGAAGUUCUCGCCGGAGACCACCUCGGUCGUCGCGCUGAUGAUGAGGCGCCGGUCGACGCCGUUCUGGGUGUGCGGGUUGCCCGACUUGCCGAUCCCGGCGAUCCGCCCGUCCUUGAUGCCGAUGUCGCCCUUGACGACGCCGAGCACCGGGUCGAGGAUCAGCGCGUUGGUGAUGACGACGUCCAGGGCGACCGACCGUCCCGAGGCCGGGUCGGCCGACAUGCCGUCGCGGGCG